rnacentral:rRNA from 1 species
AUACGUAGGGGGCAAGCGUUAUCCGGAUUUAUUGGGUUUAAAGGGAGCGUAGGCGGGAAGUCAAGUCAGCUGUGAAAUGUAGGCGCUCCACGCCUGCACUGCAGUUGAUACUGGCGUGCUGGAGUACGGAUGCCGUUGGAGGAAUGAGUGGGGUAGCGGUGAAAUGCUUAGAUAUCACUCAGAACACCAAUUGCGAAGGCAUCUGACGAAUCCGUCACUGACGCUGAGGCACGAAAGCGUGGGGAUAGAACAGGAUUAGAUACCCUGGUAUUCCACGCCGUAAACGAUGAUGACUAACCGUCGGCGAUAGACAGCCGGUGGCCAAGCGAAAGCGAUAAGUCAUCCACCUGGGGAGUACGUCGGCAACGAUGAAACUCAAAGGAAUUGACGGAG